UACAGAGGGGGCAAGCGUUGUUCGGAAUUACUGGGCGUAAAGGGCGCGUAGGUGGCCUGCUAAGUCGAACGUGAAAUCCCUGGGCUCAACCCAGGAACUGCGUCCGAUACUGGUUGGCUUGAAUCCGGGAGAGGGAUGUGGAAUUCCAGGUGUAGCGGUGAAAUGCGUAGAUAUCUGGAGGAACACCGGUGGCGAAGGCGGCAUCCUGGACCGGCAUUGACGCUGAGGCGCGAAAGCCAGGGGAGCAAACGGG
rnacentral:rRNA from 1 species